rnacentral:misc_RNA from 1 species
CCAAUUCAAGAGAAAAGUUAGUCAAAUGCACGACCAAGCAGCCAAACCAACCACAAAUCAUCCCAAGGGAAAAACAAUUCCCAGAUCCUAAUCGUUUCUCCCAGAAUGGAGGAGCAAGAAAAUCUCUUGACUGAAACCGUAAUUCACUACUGGGGCAAAACCCGAGAGGAAGAAUACUACAAGCAACAAGGAAUCAGGGCAUCACAUUCAUUAUACACCUCACCUAGGGGACUCUCUCUCUUCACCAGAUCAUGGCUUCCCAUCUCCACUGCGCCUCCGCGUGGCAUCCUCUGUAUGGUUCACGGUUAUGGCAAUGACAUCAGCUGGACCUUUCAGUCCACAGCUAUCUUCCUUGCUCAGAUGGGUUUUGCCUGCUAUGCUAUUGAUAUCGAAGGGCACGGUAGAUCUCAAGGCCUCAAGGCGUAUGUCCCCAAUGUCGACCG